UACAGGGGGUGCAAACGUUGCUCGGAAUCAUUGGGCGUAAAGCGCACGUAGGCGGUUUGUUAUGUCGGAUGUGAAAGCCCUUGGCUCAACUGAGGAAGUGCAUCCGAAACUGGCAAGCUAGAGUACUAAAGAGGGUCGCGGAAUUCCCGGUGUAGAGGUGAAAUUCGUAGAUAUCGGGAGGAACACCGAUUGCGAAGGCGGCUUUUUGGUCUGUAACUGACGCUGAGGCGCGAAAGCGUGGGGAGCAAACAGG
rnacentral:rRNA from 1 species